ensembl:misc_RNA Metazoa_SRP Metazoan signal recognition particle RNA
GCCAGGCGCAGUGGCACGUGCCUGUAGUCCCAGAUGCUUGGGAGGCUGAGGUGGGAGGAUCGCUUGAGCCCAGGAGUUCUGGGCUAUAGUAUGCUAUGCAGAUCGGGUGUCCGCACUAACUUCGGCAUCAAUAUGGUGACCUCCCGGGAGCGGGGGACCACCAGGUUGCCUAAGGAGGGGUGAACUGGCCCAGUUUGGAAACAGAGCAGGUCAAAACUCCCAUGCUGAUCAGUAGUGGGAUCGCGCCUGUGAAUAGCCACUGCACUCCAGCCUGGGCAACAUAGCGAGACCCGGUCUCU